rnacentral:lncRNA from 1 species
ACCACAACGGAGUGGGCAGAUAUUUCCAUGUUAAACGUCGGUGUUGCUUUCCAUGUUAACACGUUGGACCAGUCAACGCCGGGCGGACGCGGAUGAUAUCAUGGGCCAAAAUGUGCUGAUAUUACAGCAUGCAUAUGUAACUGCAUGAUAAAGUGAUGACUUCCGUGUUGCCGAUGCUGAGCGCUGGUGGAUGAGACAGAGCAAUUCUACAACACAAACUAACGAGGCAUACCAUGAAGGAACGAGUGGAGCAAAUGGCAAAAGCUUUACAGAGUUGCAUUUGUACUAUCUCCACACCGCAUUUAUGAAUUGGGCAAAGUUGCAGUUGUAUUAUAUCUAUCAUAGAAUUGAUGACUUCAAAAUUGCACCUACCCAACGGUUCAACUUCAAUUUUGACGCAUGGAUUGAACUGGCGAGUGGUGACUACGUGACGGAGCUUAAUGAUAUGAAGUAAGG